CCAGAAGUAGAUAGCUUAACCUUCGGGGGGGCGUUUACCACGGUAUGAUUCAUGACUGGGGUGAAGUCGUAACAAGGUAACCGUAGGGGAACCUGCGGUUGGAUCACCUCCUUACCUAAAA
rnacentral:rRNA from 1 species